rnacentral:lncRNA from 1 species
GUGUUCAUUAAAUUUACUCUAUUAAAUAUUUUAGCGACUUUGAUGAUGGUUGAGGUCAAGUUAGACACUUGAUGGAAGGUAUCACAAUGUAAUAUUUUUUUCAAAUUCACCAUGAUUCACCAUUAAAGAGGAAGAAGAAGGUAGAACCAUUAGACAUUGAUUGUCAGAGUUAUGGACUCAAAGAUUAAAAAUUAAAGUUUUUACUCCA